GGGGUUUAUAAGUUUAUCAAAAGCUUCUAACUUUAUGAUUGGGAGUGUAGCGUCUCCCAAACCUCU
rnacentral:tRNA from 1 species